CCUACGGGUGGCAGCAGUGGGGAAUAUUGCACAAUGGGGGAAACCCUGAUGCAGCGACGCCGCGGGAGUGAAGAAGUAUUUCGGUACGUAAAGCUCUAUCAGCAGGGAAGAAAAUGACGGUAACUGACUAAGAAGCCCCGGCUAACUACGUGCCAGCAGCCGAGGUAAUACGUAGGGGGCAAGCGUUAUCCGGCUUUACUGGUGGUAAAGGGAGAGUAGACGGCAGCGCAAGUCUGGAGUGAAAUCCCAUGGCUUAACCAUGGAACUGCUUUGGAAACUGUGCAGCUAGAGUGCAGGAGAGGUAAGCGGAAUUCCUAGUGUAGCGGUGAAAUGCGUAGAUAUUAGGAGGAACACCAGUGGCGAAGGCGGCUUACUGGACUGUAACUGACGUUGAGGCUCGAAAGCGUGGGGAGCAAACAGGAUUAGAUACCCCAGUGGUC
rnacentral:rRNA from 1 species